AAGCUAUGAUGUGGACACUUUCUCAAUAGGUCAUUGAAUCUCUCCCAAGCUUCAUGCUCAUUGCGAAGCUU
rnacentral:snoRNA from 1 species